rnacentral:tmRNA from 1 species
GGGGGCGACAGGCUUCGACAGGGGCUUGUAUAGAUCUUUGGAUGCACGUCGGGCUUGCUUGUUAGCUCGUUAAAACACCAAGCAAAACACAAAUGCCAAUACAGAAAUGGCUCUUGCUGCCUAG